rnacentral:rRNA from 1 species
CGGGACGGGUGAGUAAUGUCUGGGAAACUGCCUGAUGGAGGGGGAUAACUACUGGAACGGUAGCUAAUACCGCAUAACGUCGCAAGACCAAAGAGGGGGACCUUCGGGCCUCUUGCCAUCGGAUGUGCCCAGAUGGGAUUAGCUAGUAGGUGGGGUAACGGCUCACCUAGGCGACGAUCCCUAGCUGGUCUGAGAGGAUGGCCAGCCACACUGGAACUGAGACACGGUCCAG